AUGAGAGAAGAUUUCAACCAUAGAGCUGCGGAUCACUUUGAAAGUCCUUCUGACACACAGACUGCUGAAUUUCAGGGGGUUUUCUCAGAUUUAUUUGUGUUACACCGGAGAAUAUUUUGCAAAAAGAAAAUUACAACUAACAUGGCAAAGUCCUGUGCUGUAUUUUGUGAUCAAAAGCAUUUUCAUAGAAUCAUAAAGUCACAGAAUGGUUUGGCUUGGAAGUGACCUUACAGAUCAUAUGAUUCCAACCCCCCUGCCACAGGCAGAGACAAAAAAGACAAAGUUUCUCUGCAUAUACAUUGGAAAGUGAUACCUAAUGCUGCUGUUGGACUCCUUUGUUGUAAAUAAAUGCAUUGAUGUUAAACUACUUCAGCUAAAUCUGUUCUCUACGAGCCAUCAGGAACUUCUGAGUUUCAAGGCAGCAGUUUUGCUUCAUUUAUAUAAAAGGAAGCAUUUGGCUUUGUCAGCCAAAAUGAACCAGGACACUCAGUUGUGGAAAAAUGCCAAAACUCUGCUAUUAAAAGUUACCAUGUAGUGCCAGCUUCUGUUACCACAGGGUUUGCUGCCAUUUACCCACCACACAGGAAUUACAGAAGGCCAGAGAUGUGCAAAGCAAGGAGUGGAACUGGGAGCCCUUUUCCUUGCCCUCCAGAACCUAUAUAACAAUUCCUUUUUCUCUUUGGAAAACUGGAGGUCAUGACCCUACUAUGGGGCAGUAAGUGGCAGAAGGAGUAAUGAAUUUCAGGUGUAGUGUGUGGGGAACAUAUUUCAUCUAAAUCCAUCCUUUAUUGGCCACACUUCGCAGUUUGAGCCAGGUGAUAAGUUCACUCUAUGAAAGCUGGUUUUGCUCAAGAACGUGGUCCUAUUUUUGCCUCUCUUCUAAGCAUUUUUGAAGGCAAAUCAAAUGAGUCAUAGGCUCAGAUCCAGGUAGGUAUACAUUUACCACUGUGUGGAGAGAAGAAAGGAUCACAAGAAAAGACAAGGACAGAAUGUAAUCCUUGCUGAUAACACAAACAAACAGAAAGCACUCUGAGACACAUCAGUUGUUUUGACAAUAGCCACCACCAAAGGAACUGUGUGCUUCAUUGGUUUAUUGCAGAAUAAAGCCCUGCCAUUUCACACAGGUCUGAUUAAGCAAGGUGACAGAUCAGCUUUGGGCUAUAGAUUUAGCUAUGGAGUUGGUGGAUGUCUCUUCUACAUGCAUGACUGUAAUAGACACAUGAGAAUAAAAAUAGCUGUCUUACAUAUAUUCAUAUCUAUUGUCUGGUUUUGAAACCCUGCAGGACAAAUGUGAGUUGUCAUCUCCUUCUUCUCCCCCAAGUCAAAUGGCUUUGAAACAGUAAUGAAUACCAGAAUUAACAGCUCUGGAUUAGCCCAAAGAUAUAAACUCAGUGACAAUGUUACAAGCCACAGCUUACAAAACAGAUAUAGAAGACACCAACAAAUUUUGCCUUAAAAGCACAAAAUGAUUCUGAGGUAUUUUACUUUAGAGUAGUUCCUAUAGAUUCUAAAGACAGGAAAAAAAGCAGGAUGUCAAAAGAGAUGACUGUGUAUCCUUCCAAAGCAAUACAACUUCCUAACUCUGCUACAUUACUUACACACAAGAAUGUAAUUUUAACUUGAUUUUAACUUGAACUUAUUUUAUUUCAAGAAAAUUUACCUGACAAGUAAGAUCGUUUAAGGGGAACUUUUGAGUUCCUCAAGUAAAUCUUCCACUAAUACCUAGAUAGAAAACAUGUUCCACCUUCUAUUUUUAUUUAUUUCUUUAUUUUAAGAUCAGGAAGGCAUUAAGCCUCUUGCAGCCAGCAAUAUGUAAGCUGCAGCACAAACCUGGGUAUUUUCUCCAACAGUGACUGAUGAAAGUUCCUCUUGUCUUAACAAAUGCUGUCCUGUGGUUGAUUCACUUUGCACAAAGUUGGGAUAUUUGCAAGUACACAGCUAUUUAACAUUCCUAUACAGUCAUGUCACCAUACAAGCAGCAAUAAAUAAUGUCACCCAUCCAGCUCAACAGACCAGCGCUAGCAAGGUUAUUUAUUUCUGGGCAGUCAAUCCUGAGGCCUUUUAAUGCAUUGUGACUGUUGAACUCAUCAGUAGAUUAACCUCAAGGCAGAGCAAAUUAGAGAAUCUGCAUGUUCUCUGUCAUGGACAGAUAUAAUAAUUUAUAGUAAAAGAAAUUCAUAACAAAUUUAACAAACUGCGCAUUUACAGUAAAAGAAAUUCAGGUUUCACUAUAAGAAAGCAUAUUUAUGCUCCACAAGGUAGUUAAUAUACUUAGUUAAUUGUCAGUAAAACUGUCAACACUUUAUUCCUAUAGUUUAAAGUAGUACUUUUUUUCUUCUGUAAAUAAAUAGGAUUUUUUCAUCAUCAAGAUAAUUUAACAGUACUUUAAAAUAUUUAUUUAUCCAGUGGUACAUUGCAAUUUGUGGCUGAGUGUGCAAACAUUACAUAAAAGUGUUGAGUGUUAAAGUGAGGGAAAAAAAUCCCCGAAUGCUUCUUCAGAAGACUUUUACUGUGAAUUUUUAGCAUCCUAAUUCAGAGCUAUCACUAAACACACUGUUAAACUGUUAAAAUAUUUUGAAAGAUAUUGUUCAAUAUUAGUGAGACCGAGCACAACCAGGAAAUUACUUUGGUGUGUACUUACAAUGGCAUAAUUAAAGCAAACCGUUCACAAGCAGCAGAAUUAGCAGGAGCUGGUUUCUCAUGGGCUCCUAUUUCACAGAUUCUUCUGGGUCUAACACAGACCAGGACUGAAGUGAUGAUUUCUUGAAUUGGUUGUUCUUUCUCUUGAUAUUCUAAAUAUAAUAUAAUGAGUUAAUUUGUAGGAUCGAUUUGAAACUCUUGUCAAGUUUGGCUGAAAAUUUUUUGACAUGUGUCCUGGGUUGCAGUGUAUUCUAUUACCAUCCUCAUGAGCUGUUGAAAUCAGGUGGGGCAGUAUUUCCUUGCCUCCUCCCCCCAGACUAUCUUCCUGUUAAUGGCCCAUCGCUGUCCUGCCCCAUGACUCACAGAUAACUCCCUCCGGACUAUCUUCUGUUAAUGAGCCUAAUCAACACUUGGCCUCAUGACUCAUCACCCCAUUGUGAGAUGCUCCACCCAGAGGGAGGAACCAAGCAUUCCAUCCUGGAUAUAAUCUGAGAUUCUGAACACCAGAGACACCCUUUCCACUGGAUUUCCAGAGGACAGGAGCUACACAGCCACCACUGGACCUUCUGAGGAAGAGCAGACCCUUUUUACAGGAUCACUGCUCCAGAGGACUGCAGCCACCAUUCUACCAGACUGCUACCACCUCCCUGCCUAACAGGGACUCAGGUUGUAUCUUCACUCUGUCAGUUUGAACCAGUGUUUUCUUUUAGUUUUUUUUCUUUUCUUUAAUUUUCCCAUUAAAAUGUUAUUCUGACUUGGUGCCUCCCACUGGUUUGUUUUCAAACUAGUACAACAUGUAAAAACGGUAAAGGUGAGGUGUCAGCAGAAAACCACCAACAGGAUUUCCUGCUUCCUUAUGAAGUUUGUGUCUAUCAGACAUUUGAGGCCAAGAUCUCCAAGGAAUCCAGCUGCUCACUGACAAUUAAGAUCCCUGAUUCCCAGGCCCCCAGCCCAUCAGAUGUACUGUCUAAGUAGUGACGUCAGAUACAUGGAAGGAACAGCCAGUUAUUACAGCAGUGGAUCUAUCACUUCAGCACUCCAGAGGCUAUUUACAGUAAUUUGGUGACAGUGAGACCUCUCAGCUACUGGAUCAGCUACACAUCACUGUCACAAGAUCUGGCCUUCUGUUGAGGCAGGAUUCCCCCUCUCAUGAGCCUCAGAGUUCAGUUCCAUGGGCUUUAGGCAGGUGAUUUUUAGAUGUGGAUGUGUGUCAGGGACAGGAUACAGAUGAAAUAAUUUCUUUUCUUUAGACCCACACGGAAAAGCUUCCUUUUCUUAGGGGCUAAUAUAAAAGUUAAGUUUUGAUCCUUUGAUCUAAAGAGGC
rnacentral:lncRNA from 1 species